UACGUAGGGUGCGAGCGUUAAUCGGAAUUACUGGGCGUAAAGCGUGCGCAGGCGGUUUUGUAAGCCAGAUGUGAAAUCCCCGGGCUUAACCUGGGAAUGGCAUUUGGGACUGCAAGGCUUGAGUGCGGCAGAGGAGACUGGAAUUCCUGGUGUAGCAGUGAAAUGCGUAGAUAUCUGGAGGAACACCGGUGGCGAAGGCGGCAUCCUGGACCGAUACUGACACUGAGGAGCGAAAGCCAGGGGAGUGAACGGG
rnacentral:rRNA from 1 species